UACAGAGGGUGCAAGCGUUAAUCGGAAUUACUGGGCGUAAAGCGCGUGUAGGCGGUCCGGUAAGUCCGCUGUGAAAGUCAAAGGCUCAACCUUUGAAUGUCAGCGGAUACUGCCGGGCUAGAGUCCGGAAGAGGCGAGUGGAACUCCUGGUGUAGCGGUGGAAUGCGCAGAUAUCAGGAAGAACACCAACGGCGAAGGCAGCUCGCUGGGACGGAACUGACGCUGAGGCGCGAAAGCGUGGGGAGCGAACAGG
rnacentral:rRNA from 1 species